CUCUUACAGGAAGUCAGCCUCACAGAGGAACCUUUUAAAUGAAAAGGACUGCAGGGGCUCUUGUGUCUCCCUCACCUGUGCAGUACAGGUGGAAGAAAGCCACCUGCCAAUUCCAAUUCCGACUGUAACCUGGGAGGUCUUUAGUCGGCCGAAGGAGAGGGGACAGUUCUCCAAGGUAUGAAGCACAGGACUGACUGCUCAGGGAUGACUCGAGGCCCUGGGAAGAUGCUCUGGGGACCAGCCUUCCUGGCCCGGCACUCCUGCACUCCAUAUUUCAGACAGAUGUAGGGCAUGGAACUUGGAGACCACAGCAGAUCAGUACGUCACGGCCGGGCUCCCCGAGUGCUGGUUGGGCUCUGCUGUCUGGUAAACCGAAGCCGAUCAUUCAUGAAUAUGCGGGUGUGACAUGGUGUAGCAGCUCUGGUUGAUGGGCUGUGGGUGACUCACUUCUCAAAGCCUUGAAUCAGAUCAGUGGUAUUUCCUUUGGCUUCCAGUGGACCUAACCCAGACUACCCUGAACACCUGCCUCAGUCGCUGACUCAGAGAUGUGGGCUCUGGAGAGCUGUGGGGGUCUGUGACCUACUGCGGCCUGAGACCAGUGAGAUAAAGCCACUGUUAAGGACAUGACAUUUCAGGCUUUAUGGAAGGGCUGGCAAGAAGGGAGGCCUGGUCCAGGUGAGAGGGUGUAGACGGCGAGACCACAGAGAGAAUGGAGUGCCGUGUGUUGGUUGAUGCAAAAAAACCUCAGAGGGAGAAGAUAUAAAAUAUGAUCCUCAAGCAAGAUUAGGUAUCUCUUUUCUCUCCCUCUCUCUCCCUCCUCACAUGAGAUGAUGGAGGAGAAGCAAAGCUAGGAAGAGCCUCUGGAUAAAGGCAGCCUAUGGAAAGGCCAAGGCUUGGGGCCUGCAUUGCAGCUGCCUUAAAAAAUGACCCCAAAUGAGUCCUGACCAGGUGGAGCUCAGUGCUGGUGAACUGAGGGCCUGCUGUGCGGGGCUGUCAGGCAACCAGCUAGCAGGGGCUUCCCACAGCCCCAAGGCAUGUGGGCCCCCAGAAGAGCAAAGCAGGAGGACUCUGCUCCUGGGGAAGGUCCCUGAGGGCAGGGUGGAGUCUUGCAUUCUCUGUGCCCAUCCUGCCUACAUGCCUACCUUCCUACCCUUGGUGCAUCCUGAGCUUUCUACAGUCUAAGCAAAUGCUCAUCAUGAAGAGAAAGCCUAAGGGGAGGCUAAGACUUAAGAGGAACGUCUGAUGAACCGCAGGUCCAAGUGGGAGGUGCCAGGCCACACAUAGUAUCCUUGUUAUGGUUAGGGAUGGUGCCCGGCUUUAAGCAAACCCAAGGUACAGGACAAUUAUUCACUGUAUGAAAACACUUUACAAACACUGACCCCUCCUGAGACAUCUCAAGUAUUUAAAUUGCACAAUUUAACCCCACCACCCUUCUCAGACAGCUUUUGGGAAACAUCUAUUGUAUGAAAUCUAUUGUUUUCAUGUGAAACGUGCAAAUGGCAGUUAUUCAACUCCUGGUUCUUGAGGAACAUCAUGAAGAUGAGGGCUUGGGACCUGUUCUGUUCUUUGUCGUGUUCCGCAUCUCCUUCUGUGACUUUGGAGGUCUUGUGCCCUGAACAGUGCACUCCUUCUAGAUGACACGGGCUGCAGAAAAGGGCACUGUGCUGCAUCUGCUUCACUCAGCCGGGGCUGGAAGUUUCCUGCCUCUGCAGUAGAAAGCUAAAACGCCGACUGGGUAGGCUUCCUGCGUUGCGGCACCAGCCCUGGUACCACAAAAUGUGGGCAUUUGAAGGGACUUAGAGACCCUCGUCUACCCACUUCCUUCUGUAAAAGUCCGAAGGCUGCUCUGUGGCUGUGUGGGGCCUGGGCCACACUGUCACUUAUGCUGCUCCCAUUUGCUCCCUCCCAGCCACCUGUCAGCACACAUUGCCAGGCGUGGUGUAGCUUGCCUCAGACUUUCCCCAUCUCCCUCACCGCUUUCCAGGGAGAGGCUUCCAUUCUUUAUGUUGGACUCCUAGCUGAUCCAAGGGGUUGGGGUGAUGAGUGCUUUCUGUGCAAGGUCUCUGGGAAGAGUGCCUUUGGCUCGGUGUGCCCCUGGUGGAUGGAGUAUGGUAAACAAAGGCAGGGCUGAGCUUGUGUAGCCUUACAAAGAAGCUCAGGGUGAGGGUUAACAGGAGGCUGUGGGCUAGGACACAGCACUCCACCUGCUUUUCGGCCCUACACCUUUCCCUCCGUUUCUCAGUCCCCUCUCUGCAUGCACCCCUGAAGCUCAGCCACAGCAUCCAGAUUCCAUGGCCUGUGUUCACAACCUUGCCCCGGCCCUUCUAGGCUCAUCUCCCAACACCUCCCUCUGCAUUCUCCUGUGCUGGCCCCGCCCAUCUGCCUAACACACCAGCAGCUGUGCUGGGGUUGCGUGCCUCUGUGCCUUUGCACCUACUGUUCCCUCAGCCUAGGAUGCUUGUUUCUCUGGCAAGCUACUCAGCUUUCAAACUCAAAUCAAAUCCCCCCGUCUGCAGUCUCGCAUGGAUCCUUGAGCUGUCAGCCUCAAGGAGAGAGGGUUGAUCUCAUUGCACUGUAAUCAAUUGUUGGCCCUACUGGCAAGCCCCCCCGCCAGAGUGACCCCCUCAGGGGCUCCCGCUGCAUCUGGCAGGUGGUAGGCACUCAUAAACUGUCUAGGAGAAAAUGAGUGAACGAAUGAGCUAGCGCCAGGGCAGGAAAAGGAAACAGAGCCGUGUCCUUUAGGGGAAAACUGCCUUUGAGAACCUGACUCACGAUGUCCUCUCUCCAGGGCUUGGCUCUGGGUGCUGCUUCGCUGUCCAUGCCCCCAGGCAAACUAACAAGUUCUUCCUGAUGCUGUGCCACAUGCCCGGCCUCUCCAGGAUUUCUUUGUUGCUGCCUGCUUGUGGCUUUUCUGGUCAGUCCAACGCAGGGCUUACACAUUUGGUGGGGAUUUAAUGCCCAAGAAAGCCUGGGAAUCGGGUCUGGGUUAAGUCAGGGCAAGGACCUUACUCUCUGCUGUGAGACUGGAAAAAUCCACUUAGGGGCUGCAGCAAGAAUCGACGGGAAGGAAGGGUUCUAGGGUUUGGGGGGUGAUCCCUUGUGUAGUAAGACAAAUUUUUGAGUUGAGGUUGGGUGAGAGGGGGCACGGGGCCAGCAGUAGGGAUGGCGGGGUGAGUGAGUGAAUGUUCAGGGCUGGAUGCAGGAAGGAAGGGUGUGGGCAAGGUUUCACCAUCAGGGUAGGAGGGAGCAGGGUGCGGGUCACUCAGAGGCCCAGCUCUGCAGCAGCUGAAUACUGAGUGCCUGCAAAGAUCUGGUCAAAGGAAAUGCAUCAGGGGAGCUCAGGGGCCAGGACCAUGACGGAGGAGCAGAGCAGCAUAGAAGUGUUAACCCAGGCCCAGAGGCUGCUCAGGGUACAGAUACCACCUGGCAUCUAAAGCAGCUGCUUGGAAGGUGUACCUGGCAGGUGUGUUCCCCACGAACUGGAACCUGCUGACCUUGUCAUCUUGGGAACAUCAAUGGGCUAAUGAGAGAACAGGAGCUGAGCAAGACUUCAUCACCUGGGUGCCUAUCGACCGCAGGCUUGCAAGGCCUGACAAGACUCACAAAUGUUGUCAGGGGCUGAGAGGAAGUGGAUUCCCUCUCUGCUGGGGGGACCUGGCCCCCAGCCCCCUUGUGGGGCACAGGAAGGGGAGGGGGCGAAGCUGAAUGGUGGCUGCAUGCUCAGUGACUCAGAUGCCAUUGCUACCACAAGGGAAAUCUGUGUGGGGCUGGGCACCUCCAGAGACCUCACUCACCUGUGAUCUGGGAGAUAAUAACAGAUCUUCUGUGUUUGCGUGCCAGGCCUGUCAGCUCCGAAACAGUAGGCAACAGACUCCUUUUAACGUUUCCGAUUUCAGCUCAUGGUUUAUGUGCAGACCAUGGCCUCGAGAAAGGGCUGAGCCCUGAGGAAGAUGGCCGCCCUCAUACUGGCUGCAGCUGAUGCUGAGAUGAGUGGGGGGAGUCCCCACAGGCAGUCCAGUGACAGGUUUGGUGUGAACGAAGUGAUGGGCAUUAACGCUAACAGAGUUUGUGUAUCAUAAAGUGGCCUUGGUCCUUUUUGUUUCCCAAUAAGCUAAAAUGUCCAACAGAGUGGAUUCCAGAUGCACUGGCAGAAUUUUCAUUACAGCAGGGUUGCUAAGGGACUGUCCUCUUGUAAGCAUUUUGGAAAUGCUAGUGCUAAUAUUUGGUUGUUUUGUGUCUUUUUAAAAAAUUGCUGUGUGUGUUUAUUUUUAUUUUUUUAGUUGUAUUUGUUCCUACUUCAUCCCUCAACCCCCAAACUCAGCCACCCAAGGAGCUGAUUUCAGGAAACUGAAGAAAUUAAGUGUCGCAGAAGCGAUGGGCAAGCUUGUCUCAGUUUCACAUGAAGAAAAGGGCUAUAUCUGUGUCCCUCACCACUGAAUUCCCAGUAUCUUGCAUGUUGCUGGCAUUGAGAGGGUCUGAUAAAUAAUUGAUAAAUCUUAACAGGAGAAAAACUAGUCACAGAGAGUUCACCUGAGUUGCCUGAAAUUCCACAGCAAAUCAACAACACGACCAGCAGAAUCUGCCUUUCCAGCCCACGGGCUGGGCUUUGCAGGAAGGCACAUUGCUACGGCUCUUUUUAAGCACAGCUUUAGAUGGCAAGUAGCUCUCCCAAGGGAAGCAGCGGCCAGGACUGGGUCUUGAAGCUCAGGACUGGCUUUAAACCUGUGUCUCAGACAGGGUAGGCAGGGCCCAAAGGCUUCAAAGAGCUGGGUUGUGUCCUGAUUUGGGUAAAUUGGGCCUUACUGCUGUAAUCCUUGGUGUUGGAGUUCCCUUGGCCAAGAAUUUGCAAGAAGCUGAAUUCUUGAAGGUGCCUGUGGAAAGGGUCAUCCCUUCUGGCUCUGUGGGCUGGUCACCCUCCUCUAGGACAGGCUCCAGAGAGCCUAGAGCAAAAGGGACAGUGCACCUGCCUUCUUCCUUGCUUGUAGAGCUCUGUUCUCCUUCAUAAGGAGAAACCUUCCCAAGAUUUUUUUUUUAUUAGCUGGGUUCAGAAAGCCCCUGUGCCCCUAGACAACGCUGACUGGCUCAGAAUGUGAGCAGGAAGGAAACCGACUUUCCAAGAGGGCUCUGUGCUUGGACUGACCGUCCUUUGCAUCUUGGUCCUGAGAGCUGUGUGACUGAGAGCAUGGGACAGAGAUAGCAACUGAACCGGGCUUUUGAACACCUUUGUUUGCUGUACCUCUGUUUCCCCACCAAGAGCCUGUUGUCAGAGAGUUUUGAAAAGCCAAUCCAGGGAAACCCCUGAAACAGCAGGAAGCUCUGGGCCUUCCCCAGCCCCUGCUCUUUAGACUUCCCCAGAGCCCGAUGUCCUUCCACAUACAUUCCUGUUCCAUCUGUGGCCCACACAGCCUGGGGCAUGGUGGAGGCCUGAGGCAACGAUGGUUUUGCUGAGGCCAUCAGAGAAGCUUACAAAGCAUGCUUGGCCACUGGCUGGGCUUAUGGGAUACUCGUGGAACUGGUGUGGGCUACCAUGGGUUCCCUAUGGGACAAUUAGCUCACCCAGUUGCAGUCCAUCAAAGGACUUGCUUGAUAUUCUGGUCCUCUUUCUGUUCCUGUUUCCUCUCCCCUUGGGGUACCUCUCCUCCCCUUUUCUUACCAUUCCUCCUUUUUCUGAGGUCUCAGCACCAUGAAACUGUAAGGACCCUGAUACUGGGACCAUCUCACAGAACCAGCUUUUUCCAAGCCCACUUUAUUGCUGUGAAGAGUCUGAAAGCUUUUUCUUUAAAAGAUAAGUUGGGUGAGGGUCAGGAGAGUGCUGAGAAGCUCCGUCUGUUUCUUCUUUCUUUCCCUUUCCCCCUCUGGUGCUGAGAGACCAGAUUUUUUUCCUUUUUUACAGUACAUUUUGGCAGGCCCCCUUUUUUCUGACAGAAAAAAAAUAACCGGCAUAUUUUGGGCGAUUACUCAACUGGGGUCCUUUGUGACAGGAUAUGCAGCUGCGUGACUAAUGGAGCUGGCUUUCUCCAGGCUUCCUUCCCCUUUCAGAACUCUUGUUUACUGCCCUAUACCAAAAAAA